AUUGAACGCUGGCGGCAUGCCUAACACAUGCAAGUCGAACGGCAGCACGGCAGUAGCAAUACUGUGGGUGGCGAGUGGCGGACGGGUGAGGAAUACGUCGGAAUCUGCCCAGUCGUGGGGGAUAACUAGCCGAAAGGUUAGCUAAUACCGCAUACGACCGAGAGGUGAAAGCGGGGGACCGCAAGGCCUCGCGCGAUUGGAUGAGCCGACGUCGGAUUAGCUAGUUGUGGGGUAAAGGCCACCAAGGCGACGAUCCGUAGCUGGUCUGAGAGGAUGAUCAGCCACACUGGAACUGAGACACGGUCCAGACUCCUACGGGAGGCAGCAGUGGGGAAUAUUGGACAAUGGGCGCAAGCCUGAUCCAGCAAUGCCGCGUGUGUGAAGAAGGCC
rnacentral:rRNA from 1 species